AUGACAUCUACUCUGAAUGUCUCCAAAUGCUUGCCAACCAGAUAUCUUGUCGUGAAUUGCUUCAGUGAUCAUUCUCUUGCACAUGUAUGUUGUCCCACAUACUUCUUCACAACCCAUGCUUUGGUCCUGCUAUCAGGUGCAGCAAACAGGAACCAAGGACAAUCUCCAACACAACAUGCCCUUAUCCUCCACCUAUCAUUUUUUGUACUGUAUUUGCACUCUUUGUUUGAUAAUGUACUCUUGAAUUGCUGCUAUAAGUUCAAUCAUAGUCGAGAACACCAUGCCUAUGUGAAAAUUCACAUCUUUCAUGUUCUCUAG
rnacentral:rRNA from 1 species